rnacentral:rRNA from 1 species
GUGUCAGCCGCCGCGGUAAUACGUAGGGUGCGAGCGUUAAUCGGAAUUACUGGGCGUAAAGUGUGCGCAGGCGGCCGCGCAAGUCGAGUGUGAAAGCCCCGGGCUUAACUUGGGAAUUGCGCUCGAAACUACGUGGCUGGAGUGUGGCAGAGGAAGGUGGAAUUCCAGGUGUAGCGGUGAAAUGCGUAGAGAUCUGGAGGAACACCGAUGGCGAAGGCAGCCUUCUGGGCCAACACUGACGCUCAUGCACGAAAGCGUGGGGAGCAAACAGGAUUAGAAACCCUGGUAGUCC